UCGAGAAUUUUUCUCAAUGGGGGCAACCCUGAAGGAGCGACGCCGCGUGGAGGAUGAAGGCUUUCGGGUUGUAAACUCCUGUCAUUUGAGAACAAGGCGGUCGCGUUAACUGCGCGGCCGUUGAUAGUAUCAGAAGAGGAAGAGACGGCUAACUCUGUGCCAGCAGCCGCGGUAAUACAGAGGUCUCAAGCGUUGUUCGGAUUCAUUGGGCGUAAAGGGUGUGUAGGUGGCGCCGUAAGUGGGGUGUGAAAUCUCGGGGCUUAACUCCGAAACUGCAUUCCAUACUGCGGUGCUUGAGGACUGGAGAGGAGACUGGAAUUUACGGUGUAGCAGUGAAAUGCGUAGAUAUCGUAAGGAAGACCAGUGGCGAAGGCGGGUCUCUGGACAGUUCCUGACACUGAGACACGAAGGCCAGGGGAGCAAACGG
rnacentral:rRNA from 1 species